rnacentral:lncRNA from 8 species
AUGAUGAACACGCAACCUGCUGCACCUUGGUCCAUUUCCACAGAAGACAGCCGUUACAGAACUACCCACCACCAAAGGACCAAGCAGCAGAAGAGGAGGAAGCCACAGGAGAAGGAAAUGGAAGAAUGGACCUGGCAGGACGAGAGAAAAUUCUGGGCGGACAAGUUAAGGGAGCUAAGGGAACCCGAGAGGCAGCCCCAAGAUUUUUUUGGGGGGGGGCACACGGGUAGUUUGGCCAGGCCAGGGAAGAGCCGUAAGCCAGCUACCCGUGACUACAGGGAGGUGCGUACGAGGUGGAGGGCGUCAUGUUACGCUGAGGUGCGCACCAUCUCGCCUAUACGGAAGCACAGCCCAGUGCGCCCAGUACCAGCGCCCCGCAGGUGCCAGGGCAAGGGGAGCAUCGAGCCGGAAGGGGUGAUGCCAACCCUGCACUCAAGACCGCCAGUGCGCCCUUUCGGUCCGGUGUUUCCCGCUAGACACACUAGCAUGGAGGUGCGUGUCUCCAGGCUGGCACGUCCUAUACCAGCCCCACGCAUCAGGAGUCUAGUGUGUCAACCCAGCCUCGCCAGUCAACAGUCACCAGAGCUGCCCGCCAGUCAACAGUCGUCAGAGCUGCCCACCAGUCAACAGUCGUUGGAGCUGCCCGCCAGUCAACAGUCGUCGGAGCUGCCCGCCAGUCAACAGUCGUCGGAGCUGCCCGCCAGUCAACAGUCGUCGGAGCUGCCCGCCAGUCAACAGUCGUCGGAGCUGCCCGCCAGUCAACAGUCGCCAGAGAGGUCAGACUGCCCUGAACUGCCGGAGAGGUCGGACUGCCCUGAACUGCCGGAGUGGCCGGACUGCGCUGAACUGCCGGAGUGGCCGGACUGCGCUGAACUGCCGGAGUGGCCGGACUGCGCUGAACUGCCGGAGUGGCCGGACUGCGCUGAACUGCCGGAGUGGCCGGACUGCGCUGAACUGCCGGAGUGGCCGGACUGCGCUGAACUGCCGGAGUGGCCGGACUGCCCUGUUCUGCCGGAGUGGCCGGACUGCCCUGUUCUGCCGGAGUGGCCGGACUGCCCUGUUCUGCCGGAGUGGCCGGACUGCCCUGUUCUGCCAGAGUGGCCGGACUGCCCUGUUCUGCCAGAGUGGCCGGACUGCCCUGUUCUGCCAGAGUGGCCGGACUGCCCUGUUCUGCCAGAGUGGCCGGACUGCCCUGUUCUGCCAGAGUGGCCGGACUGCCCUGUUCUGCCAGAGUGGCCGGACUGCCCUGUUCUGCCAGAGUGGCCGGACUGCCCUGUUCUGCCAGAGUGGCAGGACUGCCCUGUUCUGCCAGAGUGGCCGGACUGCCCUGUUCUGCCAGAGGUGCCCGCCUGCCCUGAUCUGCCAGGGUGCCCGGCCUGUCAGGAUCAGCCCGAGGGGUCCUCCUGCCCUCCGGUCCAGCCCGAGUGGUCCUCCUGCCCUCCGGUCCAGCCCGAGUGGUCCUCCUGCCCUCCGGUCCAGCCCGAGUGGCCCGCAUGCCUUCCGGCCCAGCCCGNNNNNNNNNNNNNNNNNNNNCGAGGGUGGAGCAGGGUCCACGUCCUGCACCGGAGCCACCUCCAGGAUAGGUGGGUUGGGGAGGGAGGGUGUAGCACAGUGCCGUCGGUGACGGCAGCCACCCUCCCUUCCCUCCCUUAUUGUUUAGGGGUUAUUGUUUAUGGGUUUUGUUGGGGAUUUUGUUUGUUGGUGUUUUUUCGUUGUUAG